AGUCGUUAUUCCAAUUUCGUGCGGUAAACAUCGAAAAUUAAGAACUGCGGAAAUUAUUCCACCGUUGGAAGCGUCAUCGUUGCGGAACGAUGAUCUGGCAAAUGUCAAAAUAAAGAAAUAUGUAGUAAAAAAUUCCUGCUGAUCUGGCUUUAAAAAGAGGGUGAAAAAUAAGAAUAAAACAGGACGCUUUUGAGGUGGAUCCGUGCCAAGGGGAGGCUCGAUGGCUGUCGAUGAAAAUAAAGUUUGCAAAUAAAGUUUAUGCGGGGAAGAAAGACGGCGCGGAUUCAGAGAUUUUUAGGCACGAUUUUGGAAAAUAGAGUUUAUCUGUGAGAAAAUUUUAAAUUAAAUUUUAAUUCCCAAUCGAUCGAUCAUUCUCUCGAUAAUCUGAAUCUGGAUUAUUACUGUCGAGUUUCAUAAUCUUUCCAAUGCAAUUAGACGAACGUAUUAACGUAGAAUACGUCUUUUUUAUUUGCUCCAUUAUCGAAUAUUAAUAAUUUCGACAAUCUCGCGUAUCUUUACUAAAAAAAAAAAAUUAAAUUAUCACCUUCUUUUCUUUCAACGAAUUCUUACGUAUGAACUGAUGUCGUGCACGAAAUUGGACGAAACAAUUUCAGUUAAGCCGCGACGACGAAACUUUAAAUCCUCGGUGCGAAAAGGAAACCGAGAAAAUGCUUCAUUGGGCGAGAUCACGCGAGCGGAAGAGAAGAGCGACGGCCGAAACAGGAUAGUCUUCGAAGAUCGAUCGUGGCCGUGGCGAAUUUCGUGCAACUGGAAACGACGUUCCCCGCCGUUCCAGAUUGCCGGAAACGUAGUAAAAGCAUGCCUCGAAAUCGAACACGAGAAACGCGUCGACUGUCGUUCGGCUUUCAUUUUCAUCGGUGAAACGCGAACAAAGGGUGCAUCUAUUGGUAGCCUUUGUCGAUAUAUUUCCCUGUUGAUUAAGAAACGAAAGAGGAAUUCAAAAUAAAUAUGAAAAAUAUAAUGAAAAUACCAAUAGCUAAAUGUAAUUCUGUUUAAAAUUUAUUUCUGUUGUAGGAAAGAAACUUGAUAAAAUAAAUAUUCCGUAAAUUUUAA